UACGGGGGGAGCAAGCGUUGUUCGGAUUUACUGGGCGUAAAGGGCGCGUAGGCGGCCACUGCAAGUCAGUUGUGAAAUCUCCGGGCUUAACUCGGAAAGGUCAACUGAUACUGCAGGGCUAGAGUGCAGAAGGGGCAACUGGAAUUCUCGGUGUAGCGGUGAAAUGCGUAGAUAUCGGGAGGAACACCGGUGGCGAAGGCGGUUCUCUGGGCCUUACCUGACGCUGAGGAGCGAAAGCGUGGGGAGCGAACAGG
rnacentral:rRNA from 1 species